rnacentral:rRNA from 1 species
UUGAUCUGAAAUCAGGC